rnacentral:lncRNA from 12 species
CUUGCUGGAGCUUUUAGCUCGUUCUGCUCUCCCUGUGGACCCUGGUGCCCCUGUCCCCAGCAGUCUGUGGAGCACAGGGGCUGCUGAUUUUACAGAAAUCCUGGUGGAGUUCGCACAGAGGGGCGUGGGGAGGGAGGACAGACCUGCAGACACUCCAUCAGCCUGAGCUCAGGCUCAGCACCACAGCGAGAUAAGCAUCUUGCUGGCCCUGCCCAGCACCUUGGAGGCUUCCCCGCCUCCCCUUUCCCCCAGCCAGGGUUUCAGAUAAAUAGAGGAGCCGGGCAGGCUGUGGGGCAGGAGCAGGGACUCCUCCCGAGGGACGGCAGAGCAUCCCGGCCGCCCUGCAGAACCAUGGCUCUCCCCAGCGCCCUUCUCCUGUGCCUCACCUGCCUCCCGCUCUGCAGCGCGGCCCCCAAACCCAGCUGUGACCCCAGCACCUGCCCGCCGUGCCCCGAGGGCCCCCCCCCCCCCCCCCCCCCCCCCCCCCCCCCCCCCCCCCCCCCCCCCCCCCCCCCCCCCCCCCCCCCCCCCCCCCCCCCCCCCCCC